rnacentral:tRNA from 1 species
GGGAUGGGGCUCAGUGGUAGGGCCCCUAUCUAGCAGGUGCGAGGUCCUGGGUUCAAUUCUCAGCAUCACA